rnacentral:rRNA from 2 species
GCAGGUGCAUGCCUCUAGCAUGAAGUCAGACAAGUGAACCCGCUGAAUUUAAGCAUAUCAAUAAGCGGAGGAAAGGGCGAAUUCGUUUAAACCUGCAGGACUAGUCCCUUAGUGAGGGUAAU